UCGUGCUAAGCGGGGAGAUAGCGGUGCCCUGUACCUGCAAUCCGCUACAGCAGGGCUGAAUUCCAGCAAGAGGUUUUUUCUUUUCGACUCCGGAUGGAGGAACGGAACGAUGAAGGUUGGGUCUUGCGCGACGAAUCUUUGCUAAUCCCGUCAGGCCUGGGAGGGAGCAGCGGUAUGCGAAGCUCUUCGGGUGCCGCAAGGGUGCCUAACCGGAGUUCGCUGUCUCCAUCACGGCCGGGAAGAAAAAAUCGAAUGCUGGUGCACGA
rnacentral:SRP_RNA from 1 species